rnacentral:ncRNA from 14 species
UGUCUGAAACUGAGGGAAGUACGGUGAAAAUCCGUCGCAGCAGUCACUGCCGUAUAGUCGGAUCGCUCGUCAGACAAUGGGUAAUUACACGUUUUUGGACAGUGAAAAA